CAUUUAAUUUUUUUCCUUUAUCAAAAAUCAUCUAUAAAUGCUGAGGAUGAACCCGGGAGUGUCAUCAUACUGUUACUCUGUCAGUUUGCUUGCUCAUGGUGCGGUGUGUUAUCCUCUCCUCUGCUCUGCUCUGCUCCUGGUUCGUGUGAUCCUCAAGUGAUACAUUCAUCCAUCCGUCCGUCUGUCCGUCUGUCCGUCCUCGUUUUUAGCCGAUAUUCAAAAAGUCUCACACCAUCCAUCAUAGACACCACCCUCGCCUCCAGCAGCAACAACAACAACAACAACAACAACAACAACAACAACAUGCAGAUCCGUCAUAUUUGUCCGAUAAUUCAGUCACAUUUCAAUGUUUGGGUGGGGACCCCCGCACCCCGACCACUUAUGAUUAGUAUUAUGGGGCCUGGCAGUAUGGAGCAGGAAACACUCCACCGUCUUGGAGAGGAGAUAUCCUCUUGGAUAUCAUUGGGAUCAGUCUCUGUAUCGAAAAAAAAUGUUGCAGGAGGAUAUGACCUCACCAAGGCGGAGGGCGUGUUUACCAUAGUGUAUUGGCCGACAGAGGGGGAGACGAGUCUAUCCCUGGUAUUGAUGGGAGGAUGAUACAAUAUUGGGGAUAGGUUUCUCUCUCUCCCUGUCCCCUGUCCCCUUCACCUAUCUGAUUUAUAUAUGUAUAUAUUUUUAUCCAUGUUUAAAAAAAAAAAAAAAUAAAGCGAGGAGUCGAUGAGUAAAUACCAGAGUUUUUUUUCUUUCUUCCUUUUUCUCUCUCUUUGAGAAUGGGUGGGUGGGUAUGAUACUAAACUAAUGAGUGAUUUACAAUGCAGGGUGAGCAGACACAGGGCUCUAUCUCUGAUAAUGUUGAGUUAAAUUCGAGGAUUAACACAUGAUAAUCCUAGGAUUUAGCCCCAACAGGAGAUAGGUUCCCUCUGCUGCGUUACCCUCACACUUGUUCCAUAUAUGGAGUAGAUAAAGAAGUAAUAUUUUUUCAUCUUCUGUUUAUCCAUGAAUUUUACAAAAACAUUAAUACGAAACCUUAAAGGUUUGAUCUAGCGAUUGUCUCAUCCUCAAGUUUAGAGUUUUCAGUUCACCUUCCUUCGGCUGGUGUUUAUAAGAUGAGAAAAAAAACUGAGGUCUCUCAUAUCAAAACGUACAAUCUCCAUUUACAGGAAACCUGUAUCAUUUUGUUGUAAAAGCCAGAUUUUAUGAAGGAUAUAGUUCUUUUUGCACCGAAAUAAAUCCAGAUUCGGAUUCCUCUCUUAAAACUGAAGCAGAAUUUUUUCCUAACUCAUUUGACCCUCCUGGAAUGGAGAUUGUACGUUUUGAUAUGAGAUGCCUCGACUAAAGUCUGUUGGUAUUCAAUUAAAUUCAUAUGAGAGAUCACAUACGGGGAAAAUUUAAAUGGCUGUUGAUGGAAAAAAUUUGAAAACGUAAUCAUACACUCGAAUUUUUCAAUCUUUAAUUUUCAAAAAUCGCCCGGUCCCCCGGGAAUAAGUGUGAUUUCCCCCUGGGAAUAAGUGUGAUUUCCCCCGUUCAAUGUUGCUCGGUGCCACCACAGCAGCAGCAGCAGCAGCAGCAGCAGCAGCAUGAAAAGGAGGUUGUCAUUUUAUACACCAAACUGGUAACGAUUAAGCUUUCCCGACGCCUCCUGAUAGGUAGGCAAGCCGCAACAAUAAACCAGUCGCUAGUAUCGUCAAACCAUAGUAGAAAAAAUCAUGCACCAUACCCCACCCCUCAUCCCAAAAUAAGUCAGAUUUUUCCGCUCAAUUUUUCAUCAUUGGUGUGACGUCACAACAUGAAAAUAUUGUUGUCAGAUCAUUCACUAAAACAUACAUCACUCCGCUAAUUAAUCAACAUUUUCCUGCACAGUCUGGCAACGUAGGUGAUUGGUAGGCAACCCGCGACAAUCGCCACACCGAUUCCCUCUGUCUGGUGCCGCCUUAAAUGUCAAAGGUCAAGUGCCCCAAUAUCCUCAUAUAUACACUACUGAUGCUU
rnacentral:lncRNA from 1 species